ACAGAAUUCGACACAAAUAAUGCUAGAAAAACACCAUUUAACACCAAGAAACACCGCGUAACUCGCAUUACAGUGCAUCGUCUCUUGACAGUUCUGCUAAAGUGUGCAGUGAGGUUAGUCUAUAUACCAGGCGCACUCCGAAACCAGCAAUGGACGAGUUAAUAAUUCUCUCCCUGUUCCCACAGUCAUAAACCACCGCCUUGGAAGAUUCGGUCAUAAACAAAUUAGGUCAAUAUUAUUACUUCUGUGUGGGCUAAUACCUGAGUAAAACACAGCAAUUUGAACACGCAAGAGUUAAUCAGACUGUGACACAAGGCGACCAUGAAUUUAUCGACACAUGUAGGCCAAUGACGGGGGUAAGAAGUGCCAGACAGCAUUCUGUAAAACAAAUAUUCAGUUUUAUCUGUCGUUUGCCUUGAGACCGCGAAACAUAAAACGCCACUUCCAUCCCCCAACAGUUACAUUGGACACAAAAGCCUCGACACAAGAUGAACUUCAUGAACCUGCUCAUUUUCGCCACGGCGGCGCUGCUGCUCGUAGCCAAUACCGUAUGUAUCAAACAACCAACACCCAAAAGUGGUAUUAAAAAUCUUCUCCUCUAAAAGUUUUAAAUUACUUUAGAGGGUUAGGACCUUGACCUGUAGUACCUAACUCCUCAACAACAAAGGAUCCGUGCAACACCACUACAACUGAACAAUCUGCCGAAACCACAGUCGAUUAAAUCCGUCACCACCAUCACAGUGGAAUGCAGUGGCGUGAAAGCAAACGCACAGCAUCCAGCACUCAGCCCACAGAAGCAGCAAAGUCUUCUACAAGAGUGAGAAGCGCCACAACGCGGCUUACAUUCUGAACACUACGCCAAUAGAGCACCGAGUUACAGUAAUAGCACGCUGAUUGAUAUGGAAGAAAUAUGCAUUGUAUUUAGAAACACUGUAAACAUUCUGAUGUAAAAUGUGCACAUCUGGGCCCAGUUCACAGGCACACUGGGCCGAUUAAAGCCUGAAGACAUUUAAAUAAUAAUUCGUGUGAAUAAAGUACUUAAAAAAUGCA